AUACAUACCUGGCAAGGGAGACAUCGUGAUUAAGAAGCCGGUUCACUCAGGGUGCGACUCAGCCAAUGCACCCCGGCUGUGCUGAUCCUUGUAAAUAAUGUGGAAAUAUCGAUUGCAGAACUUCUGGUAGUGGGGGACUGCGUUCGCGCUCUCCCCUG